rnacentral:rRNA from 1 species
GUGGGGAAUCUUCCGCAAUGGACGAAAGUCUGACGGAGCAACGCCGCGUGAGUGAUGAAGGUCUUCGGAUUGUAAAGCUCUGUUAAUCGGGACGAAAGAGCCGAGUGUGAAUAAUGCUAGGAAGUGACGGUACCGGAAUAGAAAGCCACGGCUAACUACGUGCCAGCAGCCGCGGUAAUACGUAGGUGGCAAGCGUUGUCCGGAAUUAUUGGGCGUAAAGCGCGCGCAGGCGGAUCUGCCAGUCUGUCUUAAAAGUUCGGGGCUUAACCCCGUGAUUGGAUGGAAACUACAGAUCUAGAGUAUCGGAGAGGAAAGUGGAAUUCCUAGUGUAGCGGUGAAAUGCGUAGAUAUUAGGAAGAACACCAGUGGCGAAGGCGACUUUCUGGACGAAAACUGACGCUGAGGCGCGAAAGCCAGGGGAGCGAACGGGAUUAGAAACCCUGGUAGUCC